AAGCGUACUACACUGUCGAGAAAAGCUUCUAACGAGACAUCAUGUACCCGUACCAAAACCGACACAGGUAGGCGGGGAGAGAAUCCUAAGGUGCGCGGGAAAACCCUCGUUAAGGAACUCGGCAAAAUGCAUCCGUAACUUCGGGAGAAGGAUGGCCGGAGCUGGUGAAGUGAUUGACUCUUGGAGCUGGAGCCGGCGGCAGAAGAGAAGCCCAAGCGACUGUUUACCACAAACACAGGUGCCUGCUAAAGAGAAAUCUGACGUAUAGGUGCUGACACCUGCCCGGUGCUGGAAGGUUAAGGAGAGAUGUCAGGAGCAAUCCGAAGCAUUGAACUGAAGCCCCAGUAAACGGCGGCCGUAACAAUAACGGUCCUAAGGUAGCGAAAUUCCUUGUCGGGUAAGUUCCGACCCGCACGAAAGGUGUAACGACUUGGGCACUGUCUCAACGAGGGACCCGGUGAAAUUGAAAUACCUGUGAAGAUGCAGGUUACCCGCGACUGGACAGAAAGACCCCAUGGAGCUUUACUGCAGCCUGACAUUGAUUUUUGGCAUGUAACGUACAGGAUAGUUGGGAGACGGAGAAGAUAGCCCCCCAGGGUUAUCAGAGUCGCUGUUGGGAUACCAACCUUUAUGUGCUAGGGAUCUAACUCGAGAAGUAACGAAGCUGAGGACAGUAUCAGGUGGGCAGUUUGACUGGGGCGGUCGCCUCCGAAAGAGUAACGGAGGCGUCCAAAGGUUCCCUCAGCGCGGACAGAAAUCGCGCGAAGAGUAUAAAGGCAGAAGGGAGCUUGACUGCGAGACAUACAGGUCGGGCAGGUACGAAAGUAGGGCUUAGUGAUCCGGUGGAAUGAGAGUGGAAUUGCCAUCGCUCAACGGAUAAAAGCUACCCUGGGGAUAACAGGCUAAUCUCUCCCAAGAGUCCAUAUCGACGGGGAGGUUUGGCACCUCGAUGUCGGCUCAUCACAUCCUGGGGCUGAAGCAGGUCCCAAGGGUUGGGCUGUUCGCCCAUUAAAGUGGUACGUGAGCUGGGUUCAGAACGUCGUGAGACAGUUCGGUCCAUAUCCAUCGCGGGCGUAAGAUACAUGAGGGAGACUGCUCCUAGUACGAGAGGACCGGAGUGGACGGACCGCCGGUGUACCAGUUGUUUCGCCAGAAGCACAGCUGGGUAGCUGCGUCCGGAAGGGAUAAACGCUGAAAGCAUCUAAGCGUGAAGCCCGUCCCGAGAUGAAGUAUCUCAUGUCGUAAGACAGUAAGACACCUUGAAGAAGACAAGGUUGAUAGGAUAGAUGUGGAAGUCCUGCAAGGGAUGAAGCUGACUACUACUAAUAUGUCGAGGGCUUAACAUG
rnacentral:rRNA from 1 species